CCUCUCCCCUGAUGACUUGCACUGGGCUCUGACUUUUUUUGUGUGGAGACAACGUGCACCUUUGGCCCUGACAAGCCAGAGUAUCUGAGGAGAAA